GCGCGGGUCCGACCCUGCGUUGCGAGGCUCCCACCGAGUUAGUUGGAGACAGGGUGGGCAGGGAGGAAACCAGCUUGCAGGAUCUUAGUUCUCCGACCAGGGAUUGAACCUGGGCCCUCGGCAGUGAAAGCGCGGAAUCCUAACCACUGGACUGCCAGCACUGAUCAAGAUCAAAUGAUGCAGGGCUUCCCUGGUGGCACAGUGGUUAAGAAGCCGCUGCCACUGCAGGGGACAUGGGUUCGAGCCCUGGUCCGGGAAGAUCCCACAUGCCACGGGGCAUCUAAGCCCGUGUGCCACAACUACUGGAGCCCGCGUGCCUAGAGCCCAUGCUCCACAACAAGAGAAGCCACCGCAAUGAGAAGCCUGUGCACCGCAAUGAAGAGUAGCCCCCGCUCGCUGCAGCUAGAGAAAGCCCGUGGGCAGCAAUGAAGACCCAACGCAGCCAAAAAUAAAAUAAAUUAAUUUUUAA